ACCAAAGGACAAUGCUAAUCCUUGGACUAAGAGAUUUGAUUUUACAGUGACCAUACAAACUAAAGUCUAUAUUCUUAUAAUGAUCCCAAAUAUGUUUUGAAUACUAAUAUGCUUUAGGCCUCCUCACUAUGAAGAACUUGCCCAGCAUAAGAUGCUCUCAUAGAUUUAUUUUUACCCUCUUAAAUUUAAAUAGCUAUCCAUAAAGGGGACUUCGAAACUAAGGAAUGUCAUAGCCAUAAGUUGAUUUGUCAUUCCAUUCUGCAAAAAGAGGGCAGGUUGGUAUUAUAUUUUGUCAACAAAAUUAUCAUUUGAAACGACAUCGUGUCGUAAAAGAAGGAAAAAUAAAUAAAUUACUCAGCUGUCCGAAACGCAGCCUAUGGGGAAAAGCUGAGGCUGAGAAGAUAAUCGUUGUCGUUUGCUGGCCAACAAUGGCUCUACGGCUUCUGAAGCUUCCCGACGACAUCAUCAUCUCGCGCAGUUCCAUUACCAACUCAACUUACUUUUCUUAUUCUCUUUCCUACUUUAAUAAGCUUUCCGGUGUGUAUCUCUGUCUUCUCUUUAUCUGUUUUAUAGUUUAUCGUACGUAACUCUGAAAAAGACUUGGUUAGGAAUUUUCACAAACACCUGUUGGGCUCCAGGGUUUCCAGGUAUUGAUGGAGUUGUGGAUAGAAAUUGGCCAAAUGCGGUUCAAAAUUGGAACCCCUUAUUCCUUAAUUUCAUGUCUUUCACAAAAAAUUUUGCUUUUUGCUCUAACAGUUUGAUUAUUUCUUGUUAUGUUUCUGUUUCCAGUGAGAUGGGUUGGAGCCCAGAAGCGUAGUCCCUGUCGAAGCUUUACCGUUGUGAAGUCGGCAAAAGUACAAGCAUCCAAGAAGAAAAGGAGGCUUGAUGAGAUAUGCGUGGAAAGGUUUCAACAAUAUAGCCGGACAUUAAUGCAGUCAUUGAUAUUACAAGAUCUAGUAAUGCAGGCAAAGUAUUUGUGGAUGGAAAGCUGGUCAACAAUGCUGGAACACCUAUCUCUGAUAAAGCUGUUGUAGAGAUGCUGGCUGAAAUCCCAAAAUAUGUAUAGCGGGACACAAGUUAGAAGCUGCCAUUGAAAAGUUGGACAUUGAUGUUUCUGGAAAUACAGCUCUUGAUUCAGGGUUUUCCACAGUUGGAUAUACUGACUGUUUGCUUCAAUAUGUUGCAUCAUUUGUUUAUGGAGUUGACGUAGGUUAUGCGCAGGUAAAACGCCUAUUACUUGAAUUAGGUUGUGUGCACAUUUAAACUUCAUCUUUUCCCGCGUAGAUGCUGCUUUUAUACAUGCACAGAUAGGUGGCAGACAAAAUUCGACGAGAUGAACGUGUCUGCGUUAUAGAACGGACAAAUUUAGGAUAUCUUUCUGCACUGCCUCAAAAAGUUGAUUUGGUGACUCUGGACCUUUCAUUCAUCUCUAUUCUUUUGUCUCUGAAAAAUUGCAAGGAUUUUGUUUUUCUGCUUAGCCCAGGAUUGAACAUGGGACUUCAGAGGAAAUUUUAUGGUUAGAAUUAUAUAAUCCUCCUUUAGAUUCUUUAUAUUUGAAGCAUUCUUACUUCUUUGAUCGCAUUUUUGGUGUUAUAGAACUAUCCCCCUCCCUCCUCGCACCACAAAGAAAGAUUAAGAAAAACAGAAAAUGUUAGGAGACAUAAAGAUUUGGAAAACUUAUCAUUGUCGCUAUUAUCUAUUUGAAGCUUUUGCAACGCUGAUCAAACUUUCAUACCAUUCUCGUCUGUUAUGAUCUUUAUUUCUUUAUUUAUUUUUGAAUCAGGUCAUGCCUGCUGUAGUAAAAGUGAUGAAGGAUGAGGCAACAUUAAUUACUUUGGUUAAACCUCAAUUUGAAGCUCGCAGAUCACAGUUAAGAAGCUUACAAUUUAUUUAAGCAAAUUCUCUCGAGAAAUAUAGAGGGUUCCUUAACCUUCUACUGUUUUCCAACGAAGGAGGAAUGUUAGAAAGAUAGCAACUUAGUAUAGCUUACCCUUCUAUUAUUGUUUGGAUUAAGAUAACACUAAUAUGAGUUUUACACUUACUAUCCCCUUUAACUUUUACAUAUGUGUGGGAUAAGCAGUCACUUUCUUAUGUUUCAAGUGACUUAUAAUAUUCUUUGCAUGUGCUUAUGCAAUUCUGGUAUAAGGAAUCCUUACUAGAUGUGAUACUUUCAUAAAGGUUAGUGAGAUCUUAAUUGGUCUCUAUCUUGAAGUUUCUUCGAUCUCAACUUUUUGCAAUAACUUGUAUUACUUUUUUAAGGUACAAAAGAUUUAAAUGAUAUAUUACUUUUGUCUAUAAUGGGUUCUUCUGUAUGCAUGGUCAUAUUUUAGAAAUAAGUGAAAGGUCACCAUACUUCAUUACGUACAAGAGCAUUUAUGCAUAAAUUUAGCGUUCCAUUUUUGUUGUAGGUAGGUGGUGGUGGGAUUGUAAGAGAUCCACUGGUUCACCAAGAUGUUCUUGAAAAGAUUGUGAAGGGCGUAGAGAAUUUUGGAUUCUGCUGCAAAGGAUGGAUAGAGUCUCAUCUCAAGGGUGCGGAGGGUAAUAUAGAAUUCCUUGUUCAUUUUGUUAGGAAAGCUGAGCAAACUGCAGACUGAUUAUUAGUGUUAGCUAUGGGCAAAUCUAUUACAUUUCCAGGUAGACUUUGGACAUGAAAUUUUGGGUGAAGGGGACCCUACUAUGUGGUUAUGCACAAAUGCCCUUGGGUCUGGAUGUAUUUACUUGUAGAGUAAAUCAUGAAAUGGCUUUUUUUUCAUGGAGGCUUUAACGAAAUAGCAAUGCAGCAGGUAGAAUUGGUAAAAAAAGGUCCGGAACUCUUCAAUUUAACAAAGAAAUAUAGUAUUCAUUUCUAUUUAGUUUGUGAAAUAUUUAUUUCCCUUCCAAUAAGAUGUACUUUUUGGUGUGUU